AGUGACUAUUCGUCAGCCAAGGCAAACUUCACACAUCGCGACAUUUCUAUACGUAGGAAUGCGUGUCCGGCGGCAUUCCUUGUUGGCAUUACGAAGGAAUCGUCGAGGUCGUCUGGUUCGAGUACCACUCCCACAGGCACGAGAAACAGGUACGGAAGAGAUGUACUCUCUCGCGAGAGAAACGAAGAAACGCGAAAGAAAAAGAAAGAAAAAGAAAAAAAGGGAAGAGAAAGAGAGAGAGAGAGAGAGAGAGAGAGAGAGAGAGAGAGAGAGAGAGAGAGUUGAAGAUUCGCGGUUAUCCAAAGACGAAAAAAAAGAACGAAAGAAAGAAAGAAGCGACUUGAAGGAGAUCGCGACUCUCCGUUAAACGUUCCCUCUCUCCUCCUCCUCUUACUCCUCCACCUCCACCUCCUCCUCCUCCUCCUCCUCCCCCAUCACUGCCCUCGUACUUUUGUCCUCCCAUACGCGCGUAUAUUAUUCCUUUCCUGUCGUCGUAUACUGAAGAUAGCGGAAGGAAAAAAAAGAAGGAGAAAAAAAAACAAAACGAAAAAGAAAGAAAGAAAGAAAGAAUGAAAGAAAGAAAGAAAAAAUAAAGGAGGAAGAAAAAAAUGAAUUAAAGAUAUACAUAUAUAUUCUAUCUUUUAAGUUUAAAAAAAUCGUCGUCGUUAUUAUUCCUGUAUAUCGGUUCUGUAUUAUAAAAGAUUCGAAGAUCAAUUAAUAAUAAUAGUAUCAGCAAUUAAGGAACGAAAUAUGAAGUAUCGUCGUAUUCGCGAUCUGGAACACAAUUGUCGUCGUGUGUACGUUUGUGUCAUAAAAAAAAAAAAAAAAAAGAAAAAAAAAAGAAUAAAGAAAAAGAAAAAUAGAAAAAGGAAAGAAAAAAAAAAAAAGCAUUUACGCUCGGAUGAACACGAUCAAACGUAGGUAGGUAUAUUAUACUUAUACUUUCCGUACCAUAGAAAGUUAAUUGGCCAUGACCAACGAUCAUCGUUAUCGUAUUAUAACAGUAGCGAGAAUCCCGUGAAAAAUAAUAACGGUGAUUAAAGUCGUCAACGACGCGUAGAGUUAGCCUAUAUAGACCACAAGAGACUAGAGGAAAAUUAUAAGCUCAAGGUUAACGAAUAGAUAGAAUGAGACACAUUCGAUCGUUAGAACAUAAAGUCCCUUUUACGUCUAUCUAUCAAAAACGACGACGAUAAUAAUACUGAUAGCUAAAAAUAAAAGAGCAGCAGGCGAGCGGGG